rnacentral:rRNA from 1 species
ACGGCUCAGUAACACGUGGACAACGUACCCUACGGAGGGGGAUAACCCCGGGAAACUGGGGAUAAUACCCCAUAGACUAUGGAUGCUGGAAUGCUCUGUAGCCGAAAGGUCCGCCGCCGUAGGAUGGGUCUGCGGCCGAUUAGGUUGUUGUUGGGGUAACGGCCCAACAAGCCUGUAAUCGGUACGGGUUGUGGGAGCAAGAGCCCGGAGAUGGAUUCUGAGACACGAAUCCAGGCCCUACGGGGCGCAGCAGGCGCGAAAACUUUGCAAUGCGGGAAACCGUGACAAGGGAACUCUGAGUGCCCGUAAAAUCGGGCUGUCCAUCGGUUUAAAUAACCGGUGAAGAAAGGGCCGGGCAAGACCGGUGCCAGCCGCCGCGGUAAUACCGGCGGCUCGAGUGGUGGCCACUAUUACUGGGCUUAAAGCGUUCGUAGCUGGUUUGUUAAGUCUCUGGGGAAAUCUUCCGGCUUAACCGGAAGGCGUCUCAGGGAUACUGGCAGACUAGGGACCGGGAGAGGUGAGAGGUACUCCAGGGGUAGGAGUGAAAUCCUGUAAUCCUUGGGGGACCACCUGUGGCGAAGGCGUCUCACCAGAACGGCUCCGACAGUGAGGGACGAAAGCUGGGGGAGCAAACCGGAUUAGAUACCCGGGUAGUCCCAGCUGUAAACGAUGCGCGUUAGGUGUAUCGGUGACCACGAGUCACCGAGGUGCCGAAGAGAAAUCGUGAAACGUGCCGCCUGGGAAGUACGGUCGCAAGGCUGAAACUUAAAGGAAUUGGCGGGGGAGCAC